GCGCUGGUGGCGUAAGGCGUAGCAUCGCUGCCCGGAAAGCAGAAGGUGCGGGUUCGAGUCCCGCCUGGCGCA
rfam:Heligmosomoides polygyrus genome assembly, scaffold: HPBE_scaffold0005206